AACGUAGGAGACAAACGUUUAUCCGGAGUUACUGGGCGUAAAGGGCGUGUAGGUGGUAUCGUAAGUCUGGCGUGAAAUUUCUCGGCUUAACCGAGGCAGGUCGUCGGAUACUGCGAGGCUAGAGGACGGUAGAGGCGUGUGGAAUUCCGGGGUGUAGUGGUGAAAUGCGUAGAGAUCCGGAGGAACACCAGUGGCGAAGGCGAACACGCUGGGCCGUACCUGACACUGAUGCGCGACAGCAUGGGGAGCGAACAGGG
rnacentral:rRNA from 1 species